CUGACGUUAGGGUUUCUUUGAAGAAGGUUGCCGUUGAUUGCAAUUUCACGGGGAAGGUGGUGAGACUUAGAUUAUCCUCACACACCUCCUAUAAUAGGGACAAUGGAUUUCUCAGCAAUAAUGGCUUAAGCCAGAGAAAAGAAGAAAUAAAGAGCUGGGACUCAAACCCUAGACUCUAAUGAAGAAGAAGAAGAAAAUAGGGACUUCAACCGUUGGCUUUCAAAUCAUGAAGAAAG
rnacentral:misc_RNA from 1 species